CGCAUCUGUGCAUGCAGCAUAUCAAUAAGCGGAGGAAAAGAAACUAACAAGGAUUCCCCUUAGUAACGGCGAGUGAAGCGGGAAGAGCUCAAAUUUGAAAUCUUAAAGGGUUUCCCUCUACGAAUUGUAGUUUAAAGAAGUGUUUUCUGCUGAGGUUUUGGUAAAAGUUCUUUGGAAUAGGACAUCAUAGAGGGUGAGAAUCCCGUAUUUGACCAUUACUUUUCAACUUUGUGAUACACUUUCAAAGAGUCGGAUUGUUUGGGAAUGCAGUCCAAAAUGGGUGGUAAAUUUCAUCUAAAGCUAAAUAUUGGCGAGAGACCGAUAGCGAACAAGUACCGUGAGGGAAAGAUGAAAAGAACUUUGAAAAGAGAGUUAAACAGUACGUGAAAUUGUCAAAAGGGAAGCGUUUGACACCAGUGUUGUUUUUCUGAAAAUCAAUUAAAAUGGACUCGAUUUAUGCUAGUUGUUGAGACCUUUAUCAAGCUACCUGCUUAAUUUUUGAGUCUUUUCUUUAAUGCACUUUUCAGUUAACAAGUCAACAUCAGUUUCUUUUGCUGUAAAAAAGCUUGAGGAAGGUGGCUUGAGAUUCGUCUUAAGUGUUUAUAGCCUCUUGCCUAUGCAGUCGGAGAGAUUGAGGUCUGCAGCGUAGAUCCUUCGGGGCUAAAUGCAUUUGUGCUAAGUUAUAGCAUUUUAUAGACAACUUGUUGACUAUGAUUAGUCUUGUAGCUUACUCGCUUAUGCUACUUUACCUACGCUUAGGAUGUUGAUAGUCACAGCGUGUAC
rnacentral:rRNA from 1 species